CCCUCACUGAUCUUUAUAUUGAGGACUGCCCAAAACUCAAGUCCUUGCCUGAGGAAGGUAUCUCCCCCUCCCUUCAACAUUUGGUGAUUCAAGGAUGCCCACUGUUGAUGGAGCGAUGCAGAAACGAGAAGGGAGGAGGCCAGGAUUGGCCAAAGAUCAUGCACGUCCCUGAUCUAGAGGUGGAGUCCACUGAUGUAUGUUCAACCCCAGAUUUGCCAAAGCCAAGGCCAUCUUCAGCUCAUUGGUAUAGUCAUAUUUCAUGCUGCAGAGGAGUUGAUGGAAGCGAAGCUCCACAAUCACUGCAACAUUUGAUGUGACCCCGGGAAGGGGAUUGGAGAAGCUGAACAAGGACCUGAAGAUGGCAACUCCGAUCUUGGAGCUGGGACAAUGGCACCGCCACAAUCACCCCACCUCCACCAGCAGCGUCAUCGCUACAAAAGAGCAUCCUCCCUGAUAUGGAGAUUUCGCUGCUGCAGUUCCUCAUGAUGACGACUAUCAACCCCCAAUUUCUCCUCUUUCACCUCUAUCAUUGCCUUCAUCAGACCAAUCAGAGGAGCUCUUCCAUGCCGUACGUGAAAGCCAACACCAACCUUCUUCAAUCAUCGUUGCUUCUCCCUUGCUGCUUUCCAUUUCCACCGCCCUCCCCAAACUGGCAUGAGGCUCUAUAAACGGGGCUGGGAGUUUCCAAUCUUUACAACAACUCUCUUUCAAUGGCAGAAAAGGCACCAAGUUUGAAUAAAAAUACAGUAGUUGUACAUUCAGUGAGGAGCAGAGGGAAAACAAUAUAUCUGACUGCUAUAUAUUUCUAGUUGCAACAGAAAAGGCCUGGAUGAUGCUUUAAGUUGAUGGCUAAUGUGGCUAUAAGACUUGUGUUUGUGUCUUUGCACGGAUAGCGACUAUGUGUUACCUUCUAUGCUUGACAUUGACUUUGCUUGUGUUUUAAUUAAUAAUACGUUGGUAAUGAUUUGUCUUGGAUCUGAUUGUGCCCGCCCAUG